UAACACAUGCAAGUCGAGCGGCAGCAGGAAAGUAGCUUGCUACUUUUGCCGGAGAGCGGCGGACGGGUGAGUAAUGCCUGGGAAAUUGCCCAGUCGAGGGGGAUAACAGUUGGAAACGACUGCUAAUACCGCAUACGCCCUACGGGGGAAAGCAGGGGACCUUCGGGCCUUGCGCGAUUGGAUAUGCCCAGGUGGGAUUAGCUAGUUGGUGAGGUAAUGGCUCACCAAGGCGACGAUCCCUAGCUGGUCUGAGAGGAUGAUCAGCCACACUGGAACUGAGACACGGUCCAGACUCCUACGGGAGGCAGCAGUGGGGAAUAUUGCACAAUGGGGGAAACCCUGAUGCAGCCAUGCCGCGUGUGUGAAGAAGGCCUUCGGGUUGUAAAGCACUUUCAGCGAGGAGGAAAGGUCAGUAGCUAAUAUCUGCUGACUGUGACGUUACUCGCAGAAGAAGCACCGGCUAACUCCGUGCCAGC
rnacentral:rRNA from 1 species